UUUUUUCUGCACCUCGGAAUUUUGUGGAAAAUUUUUGUGCCAUUACAGGACAAUCACUGAAUCAUGUGCUCUGUAAUCAAGAUAGUGAUCUUCCAGAAGGAGCCACUGUCCCUGCAUUGGGAUUAUCAAAUAAAGCUGUCUUUCAGGGAGAUAUAGCUUCUCAGCCUUCUGAUGAAGAGGAGCUGUUAACUAGUACUGGUUUUGAGUAUCAGCAGGUGGCCUUUCAGCCCUCCAUACUUACUGGUAAGAUGUGACAAAGACAAUUUAAUAAAUCGCUAGAACACACAGUAUGUUAUCUAUUGCUGCUGACCUAAAUAAGUGCUAUAGAAUUCACUUUUACAUAGAAAAAAAUAGCUUCAAUUUAUUCUAGAGCCUCCCACUGAGGAUCAUCUUCUGCAGAAUACUUUGUGGCCUGAAGUUCAAAAACUGUAAGUUAAACUGUAUUUAGCUCUUUGGUCUGAUUCUGUCGUAACUUCUGACUUUUCCUCCCCACCCCACAAUCUGAUGUCUCCUUUUUCUUCCUUCUACCUACCUUUUUCCUCCUCUUCUAUAUAUCUCUUAGUGGCUCUUCAUAAGGAAUGAGAAUUAAACCUUAACGUUUAUUUUUAUAUUACUGUUUAUUAUGUUCAUUAGUUUUGUUUAUUCAUCUUAUUUUUAAAGUAGAGAAGCAUAACAAUAUAUAUUUUUUCUUUAUUAAGAAGACUUGGCUGGGUACAGUGGCUCACACCUGUAAUCAUAGCACUUUGGGAGGCCGUAGCAGGAGGAUCACUUGAGGCCAGGAGUUUGAGACCAGCCUUGACAACAUAGCGAGACCCCAUCUCUACAAAAAAUUUUAAAAAAUUAGCCAGGCAUGAUGAUGCAUGCCUGUAGUCCCAAGCUACUUGAGAGACUGAGGCUGGAGGAUUGCUUCUGCCCAGGAAUUGGAGGCUGCAGUGAGCCAUGAUUGCACCACUGCACCCCAGCCUGGGUGACAGAAUGAGACCUUGCC
rnacentral:lncRNA from 1 species